rnacentral:rRNA from 1 species
UACGAAGGGGGCUAGCGUUGCUCGGAAUUACUGGGCGUAAAGCGCACGUAGGCGGAUUGUUAAGUCGGGGGUGAAAUCCUGGAGCUCAACUCCAGAACUGCCUUCGAUACUGGCGAUCUCGAGUUCGGGAGAGGUGAGUGGAACUGCGAGUGUAGAGGUGAAAUUCGUAGAUAUUCGCAAGAACACCAGUGGCGAAGGCGGCUCACUGGCCCGAUACUGACGCUGAGGUGCGAAAGCGGUGGGGA